UGGGCUUUGAUUGGUGGCCCAAAUAAGACAAAACCGGAAAAUCAUUCACUGAAACGGCGCCGGUUUUUUGGAAUCCAGCUCGUCAUGCUCGGUGCUAGCCCCAAAUCAGCUUCUGGUGAAGGGACUCCGACGGCGUUGAUCACGAGAGCAAAUCGCAGAGAGUAAUUGGUAGGGUUUCUGAGUUUUCAGAAAUUUUCUUUUUUCAAUUGUCUUUUCCUGUAAUCAAUUAUAGAUAUAUGUAUAUAUGUGUCAGAACUGUUUCUGUCUAAAUAAAAUUAGCAUGAUCUGAGGUUCGUUUGUUAUCUUUCUUAUCUUGAAAUCUGAGUUAAAAUCGUUUACGUUCAUCUCCUUAAUUUGUUACCUAAGUUCAAGAGGAUAUGAAAAGAGUAAAAACAGUUUUGAAACAUUUUCGUUAUUUUCAUGUUGGAUUAUAUUACAUUAGAUGAUUGUUUAUGGUAGUAGAUGCUAAUGCAUCCUUUUUGCAUCUUUUGCUCUGUGUUUUUUCCCCUUCCCGGUUGAUUCAUAUAGAAUAGACUAUAUGUUUAGUGGAUGUAAGGAGGACGCUGAGGAUAAAGAUAGAUAAGAUUUUAACUGGCGCUUGUUUCAAUACUACUAUAUUCUUAUUCAGUUUCUAUAUCUAGGUUAUUUGAUACGUACCAAUUAGUAAUGCAUAAUUAAAUUCUCUCGUUACAUCUCUAAUUCUACAACCAUGUAUUUUAUAUUCUCAUAUAUUAAGAAGGAAUCACAAACACAACUAACUUGAACUUGAAUGAAAAUACUUUGAAAUCAAAAUGUUGUUUGGUUCAAAUAUCUAUUCUAUUUGCAUUCUAUUCUCAUUCUUAUUCUAUUAGUUUCAUUUAUCAAAACUCAAACACCACCUAACUCACUGCUAUUCAAUUGAGAGAAGCAGAGACCCAUUUGUCAGUGCUUCCAACUAAUGAAUUGACUAGAACUGAUGGGUGAACUUAUUUCCUUGAUACUGUGUUACCGCUAUAGAAUGCCUGAUCAAAUCGCACAGUUUAGAAUAUAAUGAUAUGGUAGAUCAUAAGGCUUCAAAAAAGCUGUCCAUGAGUUUUAGAUAUGUUAUGGAUGAAGACAGUUUUAGUUUUCUUUCAGUACUCUUUUUGAGCAUAAACAAAUUUGACAUGGUAUAAAAUUUUAGGGAAGGCUCUGCAUGAAUUCUGCUUCCUAAUCUUUCCAUAAGAAAUGCUGUUUUUUGUCCCUCUCUUGCAACAUUUCUUGUUCAGCGGAUAUUCUUAAGGACAUACAUGUUAUUACAUGCUAAAGAUUUCCUAUAUGUUCCCAUUUUUGUCAAGGCAAUGGUGUGAUGUUCAUUUAGAAGUUGUUCUUUUGUUCAUUAUGAAAAAGGUGUUUUACUUUUCAUCUUGAGACCUUCUAUGUUAUGCACUUAAUGUAAUUAUUUGACGAGGUUAAAUUCUUACGAGCAUGCUCCUGGCUAUUACAAUUCUGUGUUUUUGUACUCUGAUUUUAUUUAAAGAAAUAAAACUAUUUAAGAGUGAUUAUAGUCUGAGAGGAGGAAUUGGGGAUAUAUUAUUGAUUAUAGUGUCUGAAUUGAUGUUGGGAGGGAAUGGAAGAUGUCCUCUUAACUAUAAACCACGAACCAUGAUAACUCGAUAAGCCUCUUCCUUAGGUUAUCAUUGUCUUUUCUCAGCAUCUCCAAUGUAGGACAGUCAUGUUUUUUUCUCCUUUUUUGGAUGGAGAAAGGUGGGCUUAUAAUAGAAAGGACAUAAAUCUUUUGUUUAUGGUCCAUUUGGUAUCUACCAUCUCUAAAGGACCACGAGUCGAUUUAAAUGGAAAGAUAAAAGGUUUUACUCUGUUUUAUUCAGCUACCUCACUAAUAAAUUUGAAGUUUUGAGUGUUUCUCUGUUGGACAAGAAAAUUUAUAUAUAUAUAUAUCACAUGACCUAAAUUAAUUGAGGAGUUGUAAUUCGUAAUGCAUGUAACUGUUAUAUGAAGUAUAAGAAUAUUUAGCUAGGGGUUGAGUCUAUAAUAUAGAUAUUCUAGUUACUACUGCUAUUCUAUUGUUUUUUUUUUGUUUUCUUUUUAAAUUUUGCUUAAGUCGCAAAGCCACUUUGUGUAACAAGUGGGACUUGAGCAGAGUCAAACUUUCAUCCACCCAAACAGUGGAGACAAACUGCCAACCGAGCUAUGCUUGGUUUAUCAAAAUUAUAUUGUUGAAGGGAAAGAAACAAUAUUCCUUUGAAGUUUGCAAUGUUAAAAGUAUAGCAAUGACAUCUUUACAUCAGAGUACAAAGAAUUUUACUAUAAUCUGGAAGAAACUUAGUACUAACAUAAACAAAACUAGUUCAUAUUCAAACAAAGAUCAGAAAACAACUCUAGAGGUUUUCUUUUGGGAGCUUGCACCAUCAUCUAUAUUGUGGUUUCUGCUUGGCUGUUGAUUAUAAUCUCAGCUUACAAUACAAUGAUGAUGCGAGCUCACAGAAUAGCUUCGAGGGUCAUCCUCUGGUUCUGUCACCUAUACAUCUCUUUAGGGAAAAAGCUCUUAAAACAUAAUAGAGAAAAAACUAACCAAUUAACCAACCUUGUAAGCAUUCUAUGGUGAAGCAGAUAAAAUCCACGGUUUUGUCCGUAUAUAUGAGCAUAGUUACAGUCUGUUUCUUCAGUGUUUUAACUCCCUGCUUUUUUCUCUGCUUGAGGACAGGACUUGGAUGUACUAGGCCCUAUUGUGAAUAGGAUCUGAUCCUCUUCUUACCCUUCUUUUGCUUGAUUGAUUUGGAUCAAGUGUGCUGCUUACAUAUGCUGACUUCUUGUCUGUAUUCAUGUUCUCCAUGUUACCCUUGAGAAUACGCUGACUGCGGUGCACUAUUCCUGCAUGUUCUUGGCUAUGUCUGACCACAAAAUCUAUACUUCUCAAGCCAGAAACUUUAUCUAGUUGGAUUGCCAAUAAUUGGAUGCUGAUAAGUAGGACAAGCGUGCUACCAGCCCUAAAACUCAUAAUUUCUAAGCAAAAACAAGAAGGAUAGAACUACCUUUCUUCUGUUUAGGGUAAUGAGAGAAUAAACAAUUCUGAAAUUGUAAUACUUCCGUGCUUAUAUUCCUUUAUAUAGGCCUGCUAUUUAUCUCUGAUUGUAUUUGAAGGGGGACUUUAAAGCGUAAAGCUAGGAGGGGCCCGGAGCACCCAGUGGGGAAUUUUAGAUUCACCCAAAUCAUAAGACUGUAAUGAAGCCAAGCUAAGGCUGUUAUGGAAGAAUCUGACAAUGAUGAAUAAAGGGGUUGGAACCAUACCCUUGAGAAGCCAAGUAUCUUUUCUUCAUUCCUUUCCCCGCAUCUCUAUAAUUUUCUUGCUUUUGUCUACCAACACAAGGCUAGACAAGUCUCUUGAUCCCUUAGACAUCUGGCCACGUCACCCGACCAUGCUUAUGUGUACAUUCACUAGAUAUUUAAAAUAUUCUUGUUUAGCCAAUCUCGAGAUCAGCCAAGGCUGCUCUUGUGGAUGGCAUCAAAUUCUAUUCUAUAGCUUAACCAUUAUGAACUUUUGGGAAUAUCAUAUAAUGUUUGACACAAACUUGAUUGUAAAAUAACAUCAGAACAUCUAUGGCAGGGCAUUAUGGUAAGUUAACAAUACUUUGUUACUAAGAAAAGGGAGUUCUUGUCUUUGUUUAUCUUUAUCUGUGUUUUUUAAUGGGAGUGACCGGGCAGACAAGAGCCAGGGGACACCUAAAACUGUUGGAUUGCUACAGUAGCAUGCUAGUUUUAUAAAGAAUAAAAAACUGUGGAGGAGAAAAGAACAUGGAAUAUGUGGAGCAGUACCCAAAAGAAGUAUACACUGCUUUAUGCCAUUCUAAGAUCUCCUCCUCACUUUAGAAUUCCAAGCUCUCUUCUCUAUGCAACAAAAAUAAACAGUACUUGGUUUCUUGUGCUAAAUUUGCUUCUUUAUGCUUUGCUUUGGGUUUUGCCAGACUCUUAAUCGUCCAUUCAUGAUUUAGAGAAGACCCACUCCCUCUUCUUUCUCUCCCUGAAUUGCUAAUAUUUUUUAUUCUCGUUUAUUCAUGUAGACCAUCUUUUUCUUUAGUUCCCCUCACUUUUCUUUUGAACAGUGGCUUAAUAUAAUAUACGAAUAUCA
rnacentral:lncRNA from 1 species